UCCUUCAGCACCAGGGCAUCCUAUGGAAAAGGCGUAUAGUUCAGUUAGUAUUCUUGUGUGUGUGAAAAUAUACUUAAAAACAUGCAGUUGCUGAGUAAAGUACUAAAGUUAUGCUACAUAAAGUGACUUCCACAAAAGGUAGUUAAAGUAGAUAUCUAAUAUUAUAUCAGAUUCCAGAUAUACUCUCGUGGAGUUGUAUUGUUCAAGGAAGUGACAUUAAAGAGUUAGCAGAAAAUUGUUAGUUAUGUGUAAUAAGAAAUUGAGACUAAUGUCUACCUUGAAUUUUGGUUGUCCUCAAUAGUGAUAGAACAGAGGCAGUAAUCCAAAGUAAUCACCAUCACAGUCAUUACAGAGCUCCUUUUUAAUUUUUUUUUUUUUUUUUGUAUUAGCAGUUAAUUCUUGGAGGUGAACUUGACUAUCCUAGGGGGGAUGUCUUUUGCAUCACUAAACUAGGUCCGCGUUGAACUGAUUACAGUUCACAGAAAAUUGAAAUAUUAUAGCUGGUUCUAAUGUCUCAUAAAAAAAAGGAGACCGGAGAAUUCGAAAGAAGUCUCGGCACAUUAUUCAUAGCCAUCAUAUCGGAAAAGAGAGGAGCAAUGAAUAUUAAGGACUACAGGCUUAUAAGUCUAGCGCAAAGCAUCUACAAGAAUAAUAUCUAAGAAGUUUUUUAGUAGAUUGAAGAAAGUGUUGGACGAGACAGUGUUACAUCUCAGAGUGGGUUCGCACAAAUGCUAGACACGGCUUUGGUGGCAAAAGAAGUGGUUGGCUCCAGAAGAAAGUAGGGAGAGUCGGAAAUCUUGUGUAAACAGGAUAUUAAGAAGGCAUAUGAUCAUGUGAAUCGAGAGUUCUUAGACUAUAUAAUGUUGAAGAUGAGAUUCAGAAUUAGGAGGAGAAAGUGAAUCAAGUUCUGCAUAUCAACUGUCACUCUCGAUCCUAGUAAAUGGGAGCCCAUGGGGUUUCAUUAGCAGCUCGAGGAGCUUGAGACAGAGGAACUUGUUGCCUCUCAUGCUAUUCAUCUUGGUAUUGGAAAAACUUACAAUGAUGGAUAGAAUUAUGGUAAGUGGUCACUUGAGGGGCUACUCUGCAACAAUCAGGGGACAAGGGUUUCACACCUCAUGUUCGCAGAUGACCACUUCUGUUUAGUGUGAAGCAGAAAUUUACCAGUUAAAUUUUCUUGGAAGGGUUCUUAUGUGGUACGAGGCAGUGCAAGCCCUAGAUCAACCUCAAGAAGUGUGAGAUUAUUCCAAUAGGUGAAGUGGAUAAUACUGCGCGAUUAGCACACGUGCUCGAUUAUAGGGUUGGAGCUCUUCCAAGUUCCAACCACUUAUCUUGGCUUACCUUUGCACGCUCCCAAUAAAGACCAAGCAACAUGGAGCCCGGUGAUUAAGAGAGUUUAAAAGAGGCUAGCAUCAUAUAAAAAGAGGUAUAUAUCAAAAGGAUUGAAGGAAGUAGACUCUGUCGAGCAUCCCUAUGUAUUUUAUGUCAUUGCCGCAUCAAGGAAUAUCACAGGUAAAUUAGAAAGGCUCCAAAGGAACUUCCUAUAAGACUCCACAAAUGGGGGCUAGGAAGUUUCUCUUAGUCAACUAGGAGGAUGUUACAUCUCCAACAAAAUUGGGGGGAGGGGUGUCUUGGGAUG
rnacentral:lncRNA from 1 species